rnacentral:rRNA from 1 species
CCUACGGGGGGCAGCAGUGGGGAAUCUUGCACAAUGGGGGAAACCCUGAUGCAGCGACGCCGCGUGAGGGAAGAAGUAUCUCGGUAUGUAAAGCUCUAUCAGCAGGGAAGAAGAAUGACGGUACCUGACCAAGAAGCCCCGGCAAACUACGUGCCAGCAGCCGCGGAAAUAGGUAGGGGGCAAGCGUUAUCCGGAUUUACUGGGGGAAAGGGGAGCGUAGACGGCUGUGGAAGGCUGAAGUGAAGGCCCAGGGCCCAUCCCUGGGACGGCUUUGGAAACGGGGGAGGAAGAGUGCUGAGGAGGUAAGUGGAAUUCCGAGGGUAGCGGGGAAAUGGGUAGAUAUUAGGAGGAACACCAGUGGCAAGGGCGGCUUACUGGACAGUAA